GUACCCAGUGUGAAGAGUCUUUGGACCUUGACAAGGCACUUGACUCCCAAAUCAGUGAAGUAUAUACAAGAUGAACGAAUGCCCAAAACUUGGAAGUCUAUGGAGAAUUUGUUGGCUCAGACAAGAAGAAUAGUUUUGGUGGCUAGUAAGUGAGCUGCCUGUUGAGCAUUAAAACCAUAAAAUGCCCAAAACACUGGUUUCUCUAGGUCUUCAGGGUCGCAGUAGCGUGUCCCAAGAAACCUAGAGAAACCAGUGUUUUGGGCAUUUU
rnacentral:misc_RNA from 1 species